rnacentral:rRNA from 1 species
UAAACGACUCUCGGCAACGGAUAUCUCGGCUCAUGCAUCGAUGAARAACGUAGCGAAAUGCGAUACUUGGUGUGAAUUGCARAAUCCCGUGAACCAUCGAGUUUUUGAACGCAAGUUGCGCCCGAAGCCAUUCGGCCGAGGGCACGUCUGCCUGGGCGUCACGC